rnacentral:rRNA from 1 species
GAUGAACGCUAGCGAUAGGCCUAACACAUGCAAGUCGAGGGGCAUCACAUGAAGUAGCAAUACGGAUGGUGGCGACCGGCGCACGGGUGAGUAACACGUAUGCAACCUGCCUUCAACAAGGGGAUAACCCGUUGAAAGACGGACUAAUACCCUAUAAACACAGGGGUCCCGCAUGGGAAUAUUUGUUAAAGGACAACCGGUUGAAGAUGGGCAUGCGUUCCAUUAGCUAGUUGGCGGGGUAACGGCCCACCAAGGCAACGAUGGAUAGGGGAACUGAGAGGUUUAUCCCCCACACUGGUACUGAGACACGGACCAGACUCCUACGGGAGGCAGCAGUGAGGAAUAUUGGUCAAUGGACGCAAGUCUGAACCAGCCACGUCGCGUGAAGGAAGACGGCCCUACGGGUUGUAAACUUCUUUUAUACGGGAAUAAAGUGCCCCACGCGUGGGGUUUUGCAUGUACCGUAUGAAUAAGGAUCGGCUAACUCCGUGCCAGCAGCCGCGGU